ensembl:ncRNA lncRNA:TS25 long noncoding RNA: testis-specific 25
AUGCCACAUUUGCAUAGCAUUAUUUCAAGGAGCAAUCUCCAUAAAUCUUUGGCCCCCAGAGAGACUAGGAGAGAGUGAUGGGCUUUGGCCGGAUCCUGACCUUAGCGGCACUACGUGACUGGCCGUAAUGAACAGCUUCCUUUCGCCGUCUCUAAUCCAUUACUAAAUUAAACAUAACACUAAAUAUAAAUAAAUAGCUAGACAGCGUGACAGCAAAC